AACGCGAAGAACCUUACCUGGGUUUGACAUGCACAGGACGCCGGCAGAGAUGUCGGUUCCCUUGUGGCCUGUGUGCAGGUGGUGCAUGGCUGUCGUCAGCUCGUGUCGUGAGAUGUUGGGUUAAGUCCCGCAACGAGCGCAACCCUUGUCUCAUGUUGCCAGCGGUUCGGCCGGGGACUCGUGAGAGACCGCCGGGGUCAACUCGGAGGAAGGUGGGGAUGACGUCAAGUCAUCAUGCCCCUUAUGUCCAGGGCUUCACACAUGCUACAAUGGCCGGUACAAAGGGCUGCGAUGCCGUGAGGUUAAGCGAAUCCUUUAAAGCCGGUCUCAGUUCGGAUCGGGGUCUGCAACUCGACCCCGUGAAGUCGGAGUCGCUAGUAAUCGCAGAUCAGCAACGCUGCGGUGAAUACGUUCCCGGGCCUUGUACACACCGGCUAC
rnacentral:rRNA from 1 species